CUACAGGAUCUUGCACCCGCACAAAACAGUCUGAACAAUCGUUAAAAAGUAACUUUUUUUUAUGGAAGCUUCAAAAGACAUGCCUCUUCAUUGUAUUAGAUUAGAAAAAAAGGAUAAUCCACAAGACCCAACACACAUUGGAAAAGAAAACGAAAAUACAAAAAACACUAUCCACUGAUAUAUCUAAGAUAGACUAAAAGCUUCCAACUUGAUCAUUCACCAGUUACAGAAACACAACCACCAGUUUAUAGUAGUAAUAACACAGUCCUCCAUCGCCACUAGCCUCAGCUAUCGGUCUCGGAUACUGAAUGACCAGUGUACCCGAGCCUCUCCGAUAUCAAAUUUACAGCAUCGCGCCCCCCUUCUUGGCCGCUUUACUUCUUGGCCUUACGGGACGGCGCUUUCCGCACCGGGGUCGCCGCCUUCUUCGAGGGAGCGGCCUUCUUGGCAGGGGCCUUCUUCGCGGCAGCAGCGGACUUCUUGGCCACCGGCGCCUUCUUCCCUGGCGUGUCCUUGGCCGACGUCUUCGCCGCCUUGGCGGGGCGGCCGGCUUUCUUAGCAAGUGGCUUCGGCUUAGCGCCGGCGGUCUUGGGCUUCGCCUUGGCAGCUGGCUUGGCCUUGGGCUUGGCGGGUGUCUUCGGCUUCACUACGGCUUUCGGCUUCGCGGCGGGCUUGGGCUUUGUGGCGGGCUUCGCCUUGGCGGGGGUCUUAGCUUUGGUCUUGGCAGCGGCCUUGGGCUUCUUAGCGCCGGUCUUGGGCUUCUUCGGGGCGGCCUUGGGCUUGGGAUUCGGCUUGGUGGCGGCGGACGACAGCUUGUACGAGUUCUUCACCUUGGUCAGCUUGCCGCCGGCGACGAGCUUCUUGAGCUGAACGUUCAGAAGCUUGCGGAAGUUGGGCGGGAGCUUGUCCUUGUGCUUGUCCUCCACGAACUUGGCAAUCGCAUAGCUGCUGGACCCCGUCCUCUCCUUGAGCGACGUGAUCGCCUCCGAGACCAUCUGCGCACCGACCAUCCACUAUUCAGUAAGAUCCAGACGCGGCGGAGAGGCACGCACAGCACGGCACGGCAGAAGGAUCAAAGGGAGGGCACCAAUUACCUCGGCGUACGGCGGGUGGGUCGGGCUGGCGCGCUUCUUCGGCGCGGUGGCCUUCUUGGCCUUGGCCGGCUUCGCGUCGGCAGCAGGCGCCGCCGGGGCGUCGGCGGGCGCCUCUGGGGCCGCAUCCACCAACGGCGCGGGAGUCUCAGCCACGUCGGUCGCCAUCAAAGCAGGACUCGGACCUCGACGUGGAAGGAGGGAGCGAGCUCGGGUGUGCCGAUGGGAGAGAGAAGGCGAGAGCUGUGUGCUGGUUAUGUGUGGAGGUCGGG
rnacentral:misc_RNA from 1 species